GAAGUGCUCCCUAAUUCGGAUCGACUUACAUAUCUGUUGCUCCUAAACUUUAAAGAGCUUAUAUGCCAAAAAAGAACCAAAGAUUCCCAAGUUAUUCUUCUAUAUAUUAAUAACAUUCUUCUAUAUAUUCUUCUAUAUAUUAAUAACAGAAGGAAAUGAACAGUAAAAUAUUUACGGGUAAUAAGGGUUUUGAAUAGAAACAGAGAGGAAGGUUGACCGGAUAAAAGAGAGUGGCAGAGGAUAUAGAUGCUCGCCGGCGGCCAAGAGGGACACAGCCAUCGGACAGAAAAUGAGAGAGAGCGUAGUGAGAGAUGCUCGCCGCCGGAGAGAAGAGAGAGAUCGGAUGCGGAGGCUGUCCCUGCUGGCGACGAUUGACGUACUUUCUUAGGAACAGUUCGCGUUUCCCGGUUUCUCAUAACCGGCAGCUGUCGAUCUUCAGACUACAUCCCACCGCUAAAAGCCACCUCAUUAGCAAUUCGUCCCUGUUCCUACGCUUCAGCAAUUAGGGUUCUGGUACGUUUGAGAUUAAAGCUCCAACAGGUAUGAUUCAGCAAAUUAGGGCUCCAAUUUCAGUGUUUACUUCCAUCACAGGUAUGCUUCGAGACUAGCAACAUGUAUGCUUCAGCAAUUAGGGUUCCAGUUUCAGUGUUCUUGACGCUUUUCAUCCAAGACUCCAAAUGGUCAAACUUACUCUUGAAUAGCACUACUACAAGUGUCAGAUUAAUAUUUUAUGUCGCAAAAGCCUACAAAUAAUUGUUAUUUGCCACCAAUUGUUCCAUGUGUUUUUUUAAAGAGUUUAAUUACAUGUUGGUAUAGUAGUUCCAUGGUCCCCUGUUUGCAUUUGAUUACACUGAGAGUUAGAUGUAUGUUUUUUUUGUCGGAUUAAUAUUAAUGUGAAAGGAUCAUUGUAGGGGUCAUAUUAGUUGUAAUUUGUGUUGUUAAUAGGCCCCUUUGGUUGUAUGCAAUUAAUAUAAGUUGAAAAGUUUAUAGAAAAAAAUGCCAAAAAUUUGAUGGAACUGUUUGAUUAAAAUGGCGAAAAAGAUGUAGGAAAUGGUGUCAUGGACUCAUAGUGUGAGCAGAGGGACGAGUGAGCCCAGUCAUUGUUUUGAAUGACGACCUAAGAGAAAACAUGAGUUCUUGAUUUGUAUGCAUAAGACAAAAGAGAAAACCAUUUCAAGUAUGCAAAACCAUUGUUGGUCUUUUUUUCAGCAAGUGCUUUUUGACCCAGUUCUUUACAUCUUCAAGCGAUUAUGUGUUGGUAUGAUUCAUUAACUGCUACUUUCUUAUUUGUUGAUACAGUUGUAUUUUGCUUUUAGUUAUACUCACUUUUUUUCCUUUUACUAUGCAGUUUUUAUGAUACUUUGUUAUGAGUUUGCGAUAAAUUGACCGGUAAGCAUAGAUUAGAUGGUAGUACUUAUGAAGUUGGCGAAUGUUCGCGUAGUCAUCACUCCCGCAAUAUUAUUGAUCUUUUUCAUAGGAAUACCAUUUCUUUAGCCCUUUUGUAUAGUUGGGUAAAUAUAUUAUGGCUGUACAUAUCUUGUGGAUUAACCGAAUUGUACUAAUACAUGUCACAACCCCGCCGCAAUGCGCGUGGGUUACAUUCUAGCUAUAUAACAAUUUGCGUCGAGGCUUAUCUACAGUAAAUUUAGCUUAUUACCAAAUUGCCCUUCCCUUCUACUAAUAACCAGACAUCGACUUUUGUUUCAGUUGCCACUGCAGUCUAUUGUAAACCCUAGCCGUCGCUGGUGUGGCGAUUGUCACCCAUCACUCUUCACAGGGUGACCUUACCAUCAUCGACUUCCCUCAUCGUCAACCAACGUCAAAAUACAACUUUUCAUUCAGAUUCUAUGGACUUUCCAUCGCGUAUCUCUCUUUAUCUCUUCUCUGUGUCUAUCCGAUGGGGAUGAUGUCUGUACGAUUUGUGGUCGACAAUCGGAAAAAGUACAGCUGAUGAUGGAACUUUAACCCAAAAUUAACGAUAUUUCAAAACUGGGUUUGUUUAAAGAUUGCUAUCUUAGUGAAGACUGGAACAUGUUAGAUUGGGUAAGAAAGUUAUUGGGCAUUGUUUUGACAUAGGCGUAACUGCGUAACACUUCAGACUUCUUUUGUGGACUGUUAUGUUUAAUCGAUUUGCUUUCGCUGGUUUAAAGAUGUAUUUCAGUAUGUCUUAGAUAGAGAUUCUUUUUUAAUUUGAUAUGGGUUUUUUGAGUUGGAAUCAUUAGGUUCAACUUUGGAAUUAAUUUUGUACUGUCAUUUGAAAGUUGGGUACUGCUUAUGAAUCCAUGAAUUUGCAGC